AGGAGUACUCCCUCUUACCAGUCAUAGGACAGUGCUCCACCUUUCUAACAGAGGAAUGUGAAGGCAUAUGUAGCCUGUGCUAGCUAGAGAUGCUCACCCAGCUAUGCUGUUGGGUUAGGUAGAGAUGCUCACCCAGCUAUGCUGUUGGGUUAGGUAGAGAUGCUCACCCAGCUGUGCUAUUGGGUUAGGUAGAGAUGCUCACCCAGCUAUGCUGUUGGGUUCGGUAGAGAUGCUCACCCAGCUGUGCUGUUGGGUUAGGUAGAGAUGUUCACCCAGCUGUGCUAUUGGGUUAGGUAGAGAUGUUCACCCAGCUGUGCUGUUGGGUUAGGUAGAGAUGCUCACCCAGCUGUGCUGUUGGGUUAGGUAGAGAUGCUCACCCAGCUGUGCUGUUGGGUUAGGUAGAGAUGCUCACCCAGCUGUGCUGUUGGGUUAGGUAGAGAUGCUCACCCAGCUGUGCUGUUGGGUUAGGUAGAGAUGCUCAC